AGUCGAGACGUGUUUUUCGUCGGGCGGUGCUGGGUUUAGCUAACGUGACGGCGUAUGAGUGGUGAUUGGGUUGUAUCCGACGGCAGGCUCCGUGCUUCGGCAUCGAACUGUCGGCUCGUACCCCGUUUCAGUGACGCGUCAAAGAUCUGUCUUGCGCGCAAGAUGGGUUUCUGUUUUGGCUACCUAUUGCGAAGGAAUGCUGCCUAUCGUCGUCCCUUUCCUUCUCUCGUCGGCCUUGUCGGCGGGAGGACGACAUCGUGGCGGUGCUCGUGUCCCGGACAAGCCGCACUCGUUGCGAUGCAGUUUCGGUGCUCGAGUCUCCGCUCGACAUCUCGGAUGCGGAACGCUAAAGGGGCGGUGGGUCUUUACGGCCUCCGAUCGUCCGCUCGAAGCCUUGUCGCUUGACGCGUACGACUGCCGUGCCCGUCGCGGGACGGCGACCGUCAGGGUCGUCCGUCCGGCGCGGCGCCGGCGUCGAGGAGGAAUGC
rnacentral:misc_RNA from 1 species